UACAGAGGGGGCAAGCGUUAUUCGGAAUUAUUGGGCGUAAAGGGCGCGUAGGCGGCUUGGCAAGUGGAAGGUGAAAUCCCUCGGCUUAACCGGGAGCGGUUAUGCCAGACUGUCAGUCUUGAGUGCGAGAGAGGAGCGUGGAAUUCCGGUGGAGCGGUGAAAUGCGUAGAGAUCGGAAAGAACACCAAUGGCGAAAGCACUCUGCUGGGCCGACACUGACACUGAGAGACGAAAGCUAGGGGAGCAAAUGGG
rnacentral:rRNA from 1 species